GGACAUUUCCACCUGGACAUCCUGCCACAUGCACCUCAGACUCAUUAUGUCCAAGACAGGACACAAUGCCUCCUACCAGGAGCAUGUUCUUCCUUAUCCACUGUUGGAAUUUUUUUUUUUUAUAAACUAGUUGACUUACAAUGUUAUGUUAGUUCCAUUGUUAUAGUUUGAGAGCAGCGCAGCUGUGUUUACCUGAGAUGGAUGCUCGUUGGAACUGGAAACCCAUGAACUGUAUGCAAAUGUUUGAAUCAGGACAGUUACCUGAGGCUGAGGCAGAUGGGACCCUAGAAAAGACCACAGAACUGGGUCCACUGGGAUGUGGAUCCCAAUACUCCUGGGCCACGCCACAGACAGCGCUUCUGGCAGCUCCCCCCAGACAAGCAGCAGACCACAAGCCAAGGUAGCCGAGUUCCUGGGAGUCAAGAGCGGAGGAGCCAGAAACUUCUGUGUGACCUGAGGAAGAAGAAACAGAAGCGGUAAUCAGUGCUAUGAAACAUCUUUUAUAUUGUAAUUAAAGCUCCUACCUGGAUGCCUGGCAUUACGCUGGUUCUUUACCUUUACUAUUUCAGCUCCAUGUACAUCAGUGAGAUUAGAACAUUACUACACACCAUAUAAAAAAAUAAACUCAAAUGGAUCGAAGACCUGAAUAUAUGA
ensembl:lncRNA